UAUAUAUACACAUAUAUAAGUAUAUAUAUGUAUGUGUAUCUCUCUCUCUCUCUCUCUCUCUAUAUAUAUAUAUAUAUUAAUUAGAAAACUAUUACUAAAUUAAGUACAUAUAUAAGUAUAUAUAUGUAUGUGUAUCUCUCUCUCUCUCUCUCUCUCUAUAUAUAUAUAUAUAUAAUUUGAAAAACAUUCAAAUUGAAAAAUAAUUAUACAAAUAUAUUGCACUUUUAAAAAUAAAAUCAUAUAUAUGCAAAAUAUAUUUAUUUUUAUUUUGGGAUGAAGUGGGAUCUUAACAAUUCUGUGAGAUUUCCAAAAUGAGUUUGAGAAGUACCUGUAGUUUUCUACACAGACAGGACUGCUGCAGCAGUGAUAGCAGGUGGAGGUGUUAAUGGAAUAACUCCAUCUGUUGAGGAACACGGUGUCUGAACCAGCAGCUUCGGCUCCAUUAAGCAGAUCACUGAAGAAAAUCAACGAGCCACCGCAGGGAGAAGCAAACUAAUGGCCAAGCUGUGGGGAGUCAGAGCUCAUGGUCACAUAAGCGUUUGGCCAUAUUUCUUUGAAGAAUCAGAAGUGCUAGCAAAGAGAAACCAACCAUUCGAAGAAAAUGAUCAAUGCUUUCUCCCAUGAAGUUAUGCAUUGGACAUACCUCAGCUUCACAAAAGGUGUGAGAAAUGCAAGGAAGGAAUAAAGUUUCAUAUUUCUCUGCAACCUUCAUUUUUUUUUUUUAUUCUAACACUGAAAAACCAAAUGUUGAGAAUUGUUAACUUUAAGGAAUGCAUCGAAGACAAAUUGGUAACAUCUAAAUCAAUAUCUAAGUUAUUAAUCAAGCCAAAACUAUUAUUUAACAUCGGUAAACUAAUCUAUAGACACUAAUUUAUAAUAUCAUGGAUUAAAUCCGGUAGAAAUAGUUUUUUAAGGUAGCUUAAAGUAACCAUUGUGUAAGAUUACAUUCCAACUACAUAUUUUAAAUCACUUUUUAAAAAGUUGUAUUUCUAUGUGUGUGUUAUAGACAUUUUUCUAUUCCAGUUGACUGACAUCCUGACAUAUAAUUUAGUUUUAUAUCUUGUUUCUUCUUAACUAGAGGAUUUACAACAUCUUUCUGUCAUCAUUUACUUCCCCGUCAUAGUGU
rnacentral:lncRNA from 1 species